rnacentral:rRNA from 1 species
GGGAGUAAUGUCUGGGAAACUGCCUGAUGGAGGGGGAGUAACUACUGGAAACGGUAGCUAAUACCGCAUAACGUCGCAAGACCAAAGUGGGGGACCUUCGGGCCUCAUGCCAUCAGAUGUGCCCAGAUGGGAUUAGCUAGUAGGUGGGGUAAUGGCUCACCUAGGCGACGAUCCCUAGCUGGUCUGAGAGGAUGACCAGCCACACUGGAACUGAGACACGGUCCAG